AAGGUGCACCCCUUAAGCCCCUGGUUUGGAAAAGUUCCUUGGGGCUGAGUUUGUGGGUGAAUGUGGAGCGCUGGUUAGUCGGCCGGGCACACGAGCCUGGGCUGGUGAUGACCACUUUCUGUGGCGGUCGUUAUGCGGCCGCCGCUGGUGGGGAAGCCGGUUUCGGGGUUUGUGGUCUGGUCGGGCACACUGUCGGGUUUUGAGGGAACGGGCCGGUUUGCCGGUGGGCUCACUUAACGGUAAAGUGAGUGACCGGAAUCCGCCAGGUCCGUGACCUGGUUGCUGAUUGUGAAUUGCAUAGUGGGUGCGAGCAUCGUGUAGUC
rnacentral:misc_RNA from 1 species